UACGUAGGGGGCUAGCGUUGUCCGGAAUCAUUGGGCGUAAAGAGCGUGUAGGCGGCCAGGUAGGUCUGGUGUGAAAACUCGAGGCUUAACCUCGAGAUGUCAUCGGAAACCAUCUGGCUAGAGUCCGGAAGAGGAGAGUGGAAUUCCUGGUGUAGCGGUGAAAUGCGCAGAUAUCAGGAGGAAUACCGAUGGCGAAGGCAGGUCUCUGGGCUGACACUGACGCUCAUGCACGAAAGCGUGGGGAGCAAACAGG
rnacentral:rRNA from 1 species